rnacentral:rRNA from 1 species
UGGGGAAUAUUGCACAAUGGGCGCAAGCCUGAUGCAGCCAUGCCGCGUGUAUGAAGAAGGCCUUCGGGUUGUAAAGUACUUUCAGCGGGGAGGAAGGCGAUGCGGUUAAUAACCGCGUCGAUUGACGUUACCCGCAGAAGAAGCACCGGCUAACUCCGUGCCAGCAGCCGCGGUAAUACGGAGGGUGCAAGCGUUAAUCGGAAUUACUGGGCGUAAAGCGCACGCAGGCGGUCUGUCAAGUCGGAUGUGAAAUCCCCGGGCUCAACCUGGGAACUGCAUCCGAAACUGGCAGGCUUGAGUCUCGUAGAGGGGGGUAGAAUUCCAGGUGUAGCGGUGAAAUGCGUAGAGAUCUGGAGGAUACCGGUGGCGAAGGCGGCCUCCUGGACGAAGACUGACGCUCAGGUGCGAAAGCGUGGGGAGCAAACA